rnacentral:rRNA from 1 species
ACUCAAAUGAAUUGACGGGGACCCGCACAAGCGGUGGAUUAUGUGGAUUAAUUCGAUGCAACGCGAAAAACCUUACCUACCCUUGACAUGUACCGAAGCCCGCUGAGAGGUGGGCGUGCCCGAAAGGGAGCGGUAACACAGGUGCUGCAUGGCUGUCGUCAGCUCGUGUCGUGAGAUGUUGGGUUAAGUCCCGCAACGAGCGCAACCCUUGUCAUUAAUUGCCAUCAUUCAGUUGGGCACUUUAAUGAGACUGCCGGUGACAAACCGGAGGAAGGUGGGGAUGACGUCAAGUCCUCAUGGCCCUUAUGGGUAGGGCUUCACACGUAAUACAAUGGCGCGUACAGAGGGUUGCCAACCCGCGAGGGGGAGCUAAUCUCAGAAAGCGCGUCGUAGUCCGGAUCGGAGUCUGCAACUCGACUCCGUGAAGUCGGAAUCGCUAGUAAUCGCGGAUCAGCAUGUCGCGGUGAAUACGUUCCCGGGUCUUGUACACACCGCCCGU